UACGUAGGGUGCAAGCGUUAUCCGGAAUUAUUGGGCGUAAAGAGCUCGUAGGCGGUUUGUCGCGUCUGCUGUGAAAACUGGAGGCUCAACCUCCAGCCUGCAGUGGAUACGGGCAGACUAGAGUGCUGUAGGGGAGACUGGAAUUCCUGGUGUAGCGGUGAAAUGCGCAGAUAUCAGGAGGAACACCGGUGGCGAAGGCGGGUCUCUGGGCAGUAACUGACGCUGAGGAGCGAAAGCGUGGGGAGCAAACAGG
rnacentral:rRNA from 1 species